rnacentral:sRNA from 1 species
GGAUGUGAGGGUGGUCUGGCUGCAACAUAUGUCACCCCACUGAUCGUCAGGGUUGAUUUGGCUAAUCUGGCUGGCUAGACAGGUGUCCCCUUCCUCCCUCACAGCUCC